GGGUUCUAGGUAGCGCGCAGUUUGGCACCGUAACCCGGCUUCCGGUUCAUCCCGCAUCGCCAGUUCUGCUUACCAAAAAUGGCCCACUUGGAGCUCCCGAUUCCAUGGCACGGCUCACCGGAGCAGCCGUGCCGUCCUACCUAUUUAAAGUUUGAGAAUAGGUCGAGGGCGUUGCGCCCCCGAUGCCUCUAAUCAUUGGCUUUACCCGAUAGAACUCGUAAUGGGCUCCAGCUAUCCUGAGGGAAACUUCGGAGGGAACCAGCUACUAGAUGGUUCGAUUAGUCUUUCGCCCCUAUACCCAAGUCAGACGAACGAUUUGCACGUCAGUAUCGCUUCGAGCCUCCACCAGAGUUUCCUCUGGCUUCGCCCCGCUCAGGCAUAGUUCACCAUCUUUCGGGUCCCGACAGGCGUGCUCCAACUCGAACCCUUCACAGAAGAUCAGGGUCGGCCAGCGGUGCAGCCCGUGAAGGCCUCCCGCUCGUCAGCUUCCUUGCGCAUCCCAGGUUUCAGAACCCGUCGACUCGCACGCAUGUCAGACUCCUUGGUCCGUGUUUCAAGACGGGUCGGAUGGGGAGCUCGCAGGCCGUUGCAGCGCAGCGCCCCGAGGGGCGCGCCUUGCGGCGCGCGGAGACCGGCCGUGCCGACGACGGCGACCGGAGGCACCUAGGGCCCCCGGGCUUAGGCCGCCGGCACGGCCGACAACAGUCCACGCCCCGAGCCGAUCGGCGGACCAGCAGAAGCCGUUCCGCAUACGACCGGGGCGCAUCGCCAGCCCCCAUCCGCUUCCCUCCCGGCAAUUUCAAGCACUCUUUGACUCUCUUUUCAAAGUCCUUUUCAUCUUUCCCUCACGGUACUUGUUCGCUAUCGGUCUCUCGCCUGUAUUUAGCCUUGGACGGAGUUUACCGCCCGAUUUGGGCUGCAUUCCCAAACAACCCGACUCGUUGACGGCGCCUCGUGGUGCGGCAGGGUCCGGGCCGGACGGGGCUCUCACCCUCCCAGGCGUCCCUUUCCAGGGAACUUGGGCCCGGUCCGUCGCUGAGGACGCCUCUCCAGACUACAAUUCAGGUGACGAAGCCACCCGAUUCUCAAGCUGGGCUGGUCCCGGUUCGCUCGCCGUUACUAGGGGAAUCCUUGUAAGUUUCUUCUCCUCCGCUUAUUUAUAUGCUUAAACUCAGCGGGUGGUCCCGACUGACCUGGGGUCGCGGUCCGAGCAACGAUGUGCUGCGGUGCCCGAAGGGUCCUUAGGGCCGAUGCACCGGCCACGUGUCGGGGCGCUGCACCGAGAACAACUAAGUGUCGCCCACCACGUGCUGUGCCCGACACGAAUCGCCGGCAGCCCCAACUUCGGCCCACCGCGCCAUGCGGCACGGGGAGCCAAAAACCACAUCCCUCCCCGAGGGUGGGUUGGGAGUGUCUGUUGGCGUGACGCCCAGGCAGACGUGCCCUCGGCCGGAAGGCCUCGGGCGCAACUUGCGUUCAAAAACUCGAUGGUUCGCGGGAUUCUGCAAUUCACACCAGGUAUCGCAUUUUGCUACGUUCUUCAUCGAUGCGAGAGCCGAGA